UUAUGUAAGGCAUUCGUUCAUUCAAAUUCCUUGGAAUAUUCAUAGACAUAACAUGAUAAUUUAAGCUAGGCCUGGGACGAUAUCGCGAAGACCGAAACAGCGAAAAUCAGGGCAUUUUUAAAAAUGUUCCCAAUAUGGCGAAAAUUUUUGAUAUGAGAAAAUAAAUAAAUUUAAUAAUUUAGGAACAAAUUCAAUUCAGUUUACAAGCAACUUUCUCAUAAGAGAUACUAAUGAAAUCCCAAAUUUAAUUCAGCCAGCCUAAAAUGCAAAAAGAAGAUACAGAGGUCAGGCUUACUUCUGCUGAAGUGGCAAAUAAUUCAGCUUGCAAAUGAUGAUAAAUCAGCAGGAAAAGCAGCUAUUGAAGAUUAUUAUUAUAUGAAUAUAAUAUUCCUUUUUUCAACCCUUUAAAUAAACAUAAUCAAUAAAUCUAUUUUAGAUGAUUGUCAUUUUCCAAUAGAUAUACUGUUAAUAUUUUAUGAAUGCAUAUUGUAUUAUGAUUGUGUUAUUAUAAUAUAUAUUAUUCAGUGCAAAUAUAAAUGAUCAAUCUCUCUAUGCAGUGUACACUUAAAAUUGAAUGUAAAAGUUAUUAUUUAAAAUAUAAAUAAUUAAAAAAAACCCUUUAUUUACUAAUAUUAUUUAAAUUUCUUAGUGGCAAAUAUUUUAGCUUGCAAUAAAUAUAAUAUUCCUUU